rnacentral:lncRNA from 1 species
AUGAAGAAGAUGUCUGUGAGCAGAAAUAGUAGGAAAACAGAAGAGAAGAGGAAGAAAACACACUUGAAGCAAGAGGAGCACAGGAAAGAAAGGGGCAUAAGGAAGCAAAGAGCAUUUUUUAAAGUAUAUUUUUGGUUGGAAAAAAAAAAACAUAACAGCAAACAGAGAUACUAUUUCCUGUUGGUGGAUUCUUCCUGUUCAAGGGAAAACACCAUGUAUUUCUACAGAGGAAACGGAUUGGAUCAGGAAGAACCGCAAUGUCAUCUGGAUUUGAAAGCCCAGGAACUGCAAGGACAAGAAAUACAAGGUUAAAUACAGGCCAUAUGCAGAGUCUCCAGUGAGCAGAGCAUGGACUAGCAUUUAAGAAAUCUGAUAGCACUUCAGAUUUAUCUUCCACUUCACUGCGCUGUGUUUUAGUCCCACCUCUGUGAAACAGAGCUCUUCCCUACCUACCAGUAGAGUAAGUAAUGAGAAAUGAAGUAUUUUAUCACUGUCAUUAUAUGGGUACGGUUUGUUGUUUAUCAAUUGGGUAACAAACACCUAACUACCGGUACUUUUCUGAUGGUUCGUUUGAUGCUUGGAAGACUGGUCAGCUGACCUAACUCCAAAUGAACUUUAUUAGCACAGCACUAAUAAUCCAGCACUUUGAUAGAUGAAGAAAUUACAAGAAGUCACAGCAAAAGAAAUUACCAAACUUUUGCCCUACUUCCUCUUCGGGUCACAAAGCAGCUGGUUUCCAAAAUUGUCACCAAAGUGACGACACCACAUAGCUGACAAAUUUCAAGAAACUCCUUUUUCUCCCAAGAUCCUCAAAAAAAAGUCAGCCCAAAACCCAAAUCUGAAGUCAUCUGUUGGUAGUCUUUGGAAGCUGUCAAUCAGACCAUAUCUGAACACUGAGAGAGAAAGGACACCUAGCUUUUCAUUUUAUUUGGGACCUCUCCUCUUGAAUAGCACCUACAAACCUGCAACCAUUUACAGCUCUUGAGUCCAAAUCUACUUGGUCUGCCCCGAGCUACGCGAGAGCACUUAGGAGUAUGGUCACCAGGGCAGGUGCUGAGAUGCAAUAAGCCAGAAGGGCAUGCUGGUGCAGAUCAUAUCAAGCUCUCUGUAACGCAGCAAUGUGCCUGUAUCAAAGGCUUCUAGGAAGUUUGUUUCUGUGUCAUACCCAGGUAAUGUAAUAGAUGAACUAUAUAAUUAAACUACAUAGUAAGUACAAG